rfam:Nicotiana attenuata strain TT chromosome 2, whole genome shotgun sequence.
AUCGUCGGGAUCGGGAUAAAUGAUAAAUUUGAAUGAUCCAGAGAAGAUUAGCAUGAUCAUUGGUCAAGAAUAGCAUGCACAAAUGGACAAUUAGUCCAAAUUAUU